GCCGGGCGUGGUGGUGCACGUCUGUAGUCCCAGCUACUCAGGAGGCUGAGGCAAGAGAAUCGCUUGAACCCAGGAGGCGGAGAUUGCAGUGAGCCAAGAUCGCGCCACUGCACUCCAGCCUGGGUGACAGAGCGAGACUCCGUCUCAA
rnacentral:SRP_RNA from 1 species